GCGAAAGCUGGCGGCAGGCCAAACACAUGCAAGUCGAGCGGCCCUUCGGGGCAGCGGCGGACGGGUGAGUAACGCGUGGGAAGGUGCCCUUUGGUACGGAACAACUGAGGGAAACUUCAGCCAAUACCGUAUGUGCCCUACGGGGGAAAGAUUUAUCGCCAUUGGAGCGGCCCGCGGUAGAUUAGCUAGUUGGUAGGGUAAUGACCUACCAAGGCGACGAUCUAUAGCUGGUCUGAGAGGAUGAUCAGCCACACUGGGACUGAGACACGGCCCAGACUACUAUGGGAGGCAGCAGUGGGGAAUCUUACGCAAUGGGCGAAAGCCUGCCGCACCGAUGCCGCGUAAAUGAUGAAGUUCUUAUGAUUGUAAAAGUCUUUCCCCGGGGACGUUAAUGACGGUACCCGGAGAAUAAGCCCCGGCUAACUUCGUGCCAGCCGCCGCCGUAAGAC
rnacentral:rRNA from 1 species